UACGUAGGGGGCAAGCGUUGUCCGGAAUUAUUGGGCGUAAAGCGCACGUAGGCGGCUUAGCAAGUCGGAUGUGAAAUCCCUCGGCUCAACCAAGGAAGUGCAUCCGAAACUGCUGAGCUUGAGUACUUAAGAGGAUCGCGGAAUUCCCGGUGUAGAGGUGAAAUUCGUAGAUAUCGGGAGGAACACCAGUGGCGAAGGCGGCGAUCUGGGAAGAUACUGACGCUGAGGAGCGAAAGCGUGGGGAGCGAACAGG
rnacentral:rRNA from 1 species